CCUACGGGAGGCAGCAGUGAGGAAUAUUGGUCAAUGGGCGGGAGCCUGAACCAGCCAAGUCGCGUGAAGGAAGAAGGUACUUAGUAUUGUAAACUUCUUUUGUCGGGGAACAAAGGCGGAGACGCGUCUCCGGAUGAGUGUACCCGAAGAAAAAGCAUCGGCAAACUCCGUGCCAGCAGCCGCGGUAAUACGGAGGAUGCGAGCGUUAUCCGGAUUUAUUGGGUUUAAAGGGUUCGCAGGCGGGAGAGCAAGUCAGCGGGACAAUGUCGGGGCGCAACCCCGGCCGGCCGUUGAAACUGGUUUGCUAGAGUUGGAGAGAAGUAAGCGGAAUUCGUGGUGUAGCGGUGAAAUGCAUAGAUAUCACGAAGAACUCCGAUUGCGAAGGCAGCAUACCGGCUCCAUACUGACGCGGAGGCACGAAAGCGUGGGGAUCGAACAGGAUUAGAUACCCUGGUAGUC
rnacentral:rRNA from 1 species